UAAUAUACCUUGUGUGGAAGACUAGUGAUUUUGUUGUUUAGGUAUUUGUAAUAACAAUAAAUCCCUUGUCUUCUUACAAUGUGUAUUA
rfam:Glossina morsitans morsitans, isolate Yale, WGS project CCAG01000000 data, contig: ctg10018638